UCAUUGACUCAAUGGAUGUGAGUUUGAGCAAGCUCUGGGAGUCGGUGUUGGACAGGAAAGCCUGGCGUGCUGCAGUCCACAGGCGUCGCAAAGAGUCUGAGCGAGUGAGCUGAACUGAAGUAGGGGGUAGGAUAUAUGUGUAAGAUGGAGGUACCAAAUUUUUCAUAGGAUGGCCCCGGUGAGAAGGUGACAUUUGUGGAAAUGAAUGAUGCAAACAUUUGAGAAGAGUGUUCCAGGCAGAGGAGAAGCAAAGGUCGGAAGGUGAGAACAUGCCCAAAAUGUUGAUGGAAUUGCAUGUAGGUGGAUGUGGCUGAAGCUGUUUAAGGGUUAAGGAGAAUCAAAGGAGAUUUAAAUCAGAAUUUAGGGAUUGGGGUGAAGACCAAAUUGUAUAGCACCUCUUUGACUUUUACUUUGAGUGGAAUGGUAUGUUAGUUUGGGCUGCCUUUUCACCAUGUCUUCAGUGAAGACAUAGGAAGAGAAAGAGAACUCUGGUGUUGCUUUUUCUAUAGGGCACCAUUUCUAUCUGAUCAGAGCUCCACCCUUAUGACGCAUUUUAAUAUUAAUCACCUCCUUAACGCAGUAUCUUCAAUAUGGUCACAUGUGGGUGGCACUAGUCGUUAAAAAACCCACCUGCCAAUGCAGGAGAUGUAAGAGAGUUGAGUUUGAUCCCUGGGUCAGGAAGAUCCCCUGGAGGAGGAAAUGGCAACCCACUCCAAUAUUCUUGCUUGGAGAAUCCCAUGGACAGAGGAGCCUGGUGGGUUACAGUCCAUAGGGGUCGCAGAGUUGGACACGACAGAGUGACUGAGCAGUAGGCAAAUGUUAGGAGAUAUUGCUACAAUCCAGAAAGUUAUAUUGUGGGUUUUGGCUACUGUGUGGAGCAGUGGAAAUGUGAGGAAAGUGGUCAGACUGUGUGGAGGCAAUAGAAUAUGCUGAUGGAUAUGGAAUAUUGAAGAGAGUUCAAGACUUUUGGCCUGAGCAACUAGAAAAAUGGUGUUGCAAUUUUCUGAGAUGAAGAAGAUGGUGAAUGUAGCAGACUUGAGUUGGAGGAAUAUCAGAAGUUCAAUAUAACAUGUCUGUUGAAGGAAACAAAGAAAUGUAUAGUAAUAAUAAAUAGUAGCCACUCAUAUAAACGUGAUUGCAAACCGAGAAGUUUUGGGACAGAGAGGAAUAUGGUAUAAUGAGAAUGCAAAAGAGAGGGACCAAAUUUAGGUAGGAGUGACUGUUCAGUGAGGUCUGAAGGAUAAUUAGAAUAAAAUUUUAACUGUCAUGGGGGUUUCAGAAAACGGAAAUAUCAUGAGCAAAAGCCUUCUUGGAAAGAAUAUGACGACUUUGGUUAAAGCACAGGGAUUGAGGAACAAGUGUGAUAAAAGAGGUCUAUUCCAAAAGACCUAUAAAACCUAUAAACUGGGUUUCCAGGGAGACUGAGGGGGCAAAUGAUCAGGUUUAUAUUCACUAAAAGUCUCUAGUUACAUUGCAGGCAGAAGAUUCGAGAGGAGUAAGAGUAAGUAUGGAAAGACAGGAUACAAUUUCAGUAAUCUAGGCACGAGAUGAUAGUAAUUAUAGUAGCUAAUAUUUAGAGAAUUUAUGUCCUAUACACUAUGCUAAGCUCUACACUUAUAAUCUUAUUCAAUCCUUAAAACAACACAAGAAGAAUAUCAUAGUAUUAUCCCUAUUUUUACAGAUGAAGAACUUGGUUAAGGAGGAGUCUAAGAAAUUUGCCUGAGGUCUCUCAGUCAAGAUUUAAAUUCAGGGAAAUUUCUCAACUAGUCAAGCUAUAGGAGUAUGGAUUAUGGGGGUUGCAGAAAAACGAGGAAGGGGAAAUUUUUGAGAAAUAUGGUACUUAAGAAAUAAUGCAGAGGACUUGGAAAUGGAUUGAAGGAAUGAGGAAAAAUAGAGGGUAGCUUGAGUUUUCAAACUAUUUCACCUGGAAUUAGAUGGCAGUGACAUUAGGAAGAACAUUCUAAAGCUAGGUUUGGAGAUGAACUUGAGAAAUCUGGUCUGGGGCAUUUUGGGCUUUGAGAUAUCCAAGUGGAAAAUUAAGGAAGUGUUUGGCCACACUGGUCUUUUGCUCAAAAAAGUUUUUACAAGAGUAUAAAUGUGAAGAGUUUUCUGCAAAUAGAUGAUAAUAACUGACAAUGUGGGCAUAAAGACAGUCACUCAGGGAGAGGGUAUAUAGCAACACUGUGUAAUAGAAUGUCGGAAAUAUUCUAUUUCAGUGUUGCCCAAUACAAUGAGCCACUUGUGGUUUUUGAGCCCUUGAAAUGCCUAGAGCAACUAAAGAAUUGAAUUUUUUGUUUUAUUAACUUUAGUUUAUUAAAUAGUCCCAUGGCCUAGUGCCUUCCAUAUAAAACAGCAUAGAUAUAGAGUUUAAAAGAAGGCCCAAGGCCCAGACUUGUGUGAUUCCAACAUUUGAUGACUAACUUAAACGAGAAGUGGCCUAAGACAUGAGAAGAAAACCAGAUUUUCAAAGUAGGAUCAGCUGUGUUAAAUGGGCCACGAGGUGGAGAACGGUUAAAGGUGAAUAUACAUUGAAUUUAGUGACGUGUUAGCCAACAUGAUGAGGGGGUAAUGAGAGAGGGAGCAAGGGCUCCGGGAGAUAGAAUCAAAGUAUGCAUGUGAAACACGUAGAGACAUUGUCGGGAGAGGUCUUCUGUACUUUGCUGUUCACAAACGUUUGUCAGAUAUACUGGUUGUCAAUUUAGAGACUAACUUUGAGAACAGACGCGUUGUAAGGGCCAUGAUGGAGGAGUAACUCAGGCAUUUUGCUCAUCUUCCCCUUUCACCAGGAAGUCAGUCCGGCCAAGUAGUUGCGCACUUGGCCUGCUCUGAUCUCCAGGAGGAACCCACCACAGUUUUCCUGCCCUGCUCUGGCUCCCCUGAGUCCAUGUCCACUGACUAUAAUGGCCCUGAAGGAGCCUCACCAUCACCAUUGCUAAUGGUACCCUUGCCUCUGUGAAGGAACCUUCCAUCUCACAGUGCUUAGAAGGCUGCCAACUGUCUCAUGGACCUCAAAGUAGCACUGACAUGCACCAUGACUCUAGAGGAAACAGCCCCUUCAGCUUCUCAGAGCUCAGCUCCAAAGCUCCUGUCAGCAAGACUGCAAACAAUUAUCCUCAUCUGUAAGAACAAGUGACAUUUUUAGGACAAUGAGAUCUCAAGCCAAAUAUAUAAAACAAAACAGUUCUCUCAAACAGAGUAAUACCUGUCAUACCCUUAGCACUGUAAGCAUGUAAGCUAACACUUAGCUUUCCUGUGUAGGCAGCCUCCUGUGUGAACCUCUAUGGACCAAAACAUUCAAGCUUGAGGGGCUCACCAUCUCAAACACCUUCUAUGCUGAUGUGGGAUCAGUUUAACACUUACAUAGCUAAAUGGCCUAUUUAGGAUUAUAAGAUCAAAGAAACAGUCUGCCCUAAAAGUAGAUUCAGUACUGUAAAACAAACAGGUGAUAAAACCCAGCUCACCUCAUUGAUAGUUUUAUAAGGUUUUCAUCUCCACCCAGGUUUCAGUUGGCCAGAUUUCAUAAAGGCAUGAGUUCAAGGUUCUUGUUCCUUGAUCAGCAAUCUCAGCUCCUAUGACAGUUCCUCUGAGGAGGGUGGGUGUAUGUGUGUGGGUGGCAGUGGUGGGGUUAUUUUCAUGCUUUGAGCAUAUCAUAUGCAUACUUUUAAAUUGUUGCGAUGAGAAUAUAUUAGCAUAUUGGUUACAUAAUUUAGAAAAAGUACUGCCAAUAUCACCACCAACAAAACAAAAGUAGAAACCUGGCCACAAAUACAUUGAAGAAUUCACAGUGGAGCUCAUGGUGUAUCUGUUUCGAGCGCACUGUUAUGCAAUCGUGGUGGCAGCAUUUGUUGUUGGUCCAAUGGCAGCUUGGUCCAAUAGAAAGACUAGUUCAGGAGUCAGUGAACAACUCUGUGAUCCUAGAGCAUAUCAUUCAAUCCCCUGGUUUCCUAUCCAUCCUGUGUUAUAUGGAGUGCUCACAUCUCCUGGAACUCGACCAUUCUAGAGCAUGUAGGACACUUGAAUGCUCUGGUUAUAAGAAAUGUCACUUUUUUCUUUCUCCAAAUAAAUUUAAUCUUUUUGAUUUCUCUUUUA